GACGAACGCUGGCGGCGUGCUUAACACAUGCAAGUCGAGCGGAAAGGCCCUUUCGGGGGUACUCGAGCGGCGAACGGGUGAGUAACACGUGAGUAAUCUGCCCUGCACUUCGGGAUAGCUUCGGGAAACCGAAAUUAAUACCGGAUAGGACUCGUCACCGCAUGGUGGUGGGUGGAAACUUUUUUGGGUGUGGGAUGUGCUCGCGGCCUAUCAGCUUGAUGGUGGGGUAGUGGCCUACCAUGGCUUUGACGGGUAGCCGGCCUGAGAGGGUGACCGGCCACACUGGGACUGAGACACGGCCCAGACUCCUACGGGAGGCAGCAGUGGGGAAUAUUGCACAAUGGGCGCAAGCCUGAUGCAGCGACGCCGCGUGGGGGAUGACGGCCUUCGGUUGUAACUACUUCUAGCAGGGACGAAGGGU
rnacentral:rRNA from 1 species